rnacentral:lncRNA from 1 species
GGUGAUUGCACCAUCAUAGGGAGCAGAUGGAACAAAUUAAGGUAGAGCCCUGGUGCUUUUUGUGAGCACUUGGAGGUGGUUGAUAACUUGAUAUCCAUGGUAGGAACAAAUAAAAUAUUGAGAAAAAGGAAUAAGAGUUUGUUUUGCUUAACGCAGGCACUACCUAGACUGGUUGGAACCUAGCUAAAAGCCCAUCUUCAGAUCAUUUAUAUCACACAUUCUAAAUAUACAAUCCAUCAAUUAAUUAUGUAAUGUGUGACAGUUCUUUUUUCUUGACGAAUUCCCUGCAUGUAGGCAUCAUCAUGCAUGAGAUCGAUGAAGAGCCCAAACAUGCAUGUGUGCUACACUGUUACCAUGUACUAGCUUUGUGUCACUCUAGCU